rnacentral:pre_miRNA from 1 species
UGGGGCUUGAACCUGGCAUACAAUGUAGAUUUCUGUGUUUAUUAGGCAACAGCUACAUUGUCUGCUGGGUUUCAGGCUACCUGG